AACCAGCAAAAUCAUCUUCUGAUCAGCAACUCAACUCGUCAGAAACUCUCCAGAAAUUCUGCAGCUUCUUCCCUUUUUCUCUUCUUUCUUUUGUGUAUUUUGCCCACCAUGAGUGGCUAGUUUCACUCUUUUCUAGUUGAAGUUGGUGAAUUUCAGAUUUUGUGAUGAAUUGGGAGAUUUAAAUCUCCAUUGUUAAACUCUUAUUUACUUUCAAUAUUUAUGCAAUUUGAUCUUUCCAUAAUUGUUGCUUUGCUUUUAGAAUCAAUUUAGGCCUAUUGCUUUUAAUUGCUUGAGUAACAAUUGUUUGAAUAAUUUAGGUCCGUAAUUGCUUAGGUUGUUCAAAUACACAUUUAAUCAAAUUGCAUAAUCUAAACUUGACCACGCGGUUGGCAAGGAUAGAAUUGGGUUUCUCUAAGUCUUAAUGCAGUCAACAGUUGUUCGAUGCUAUAAUGCCCCAAGGACGUUCCUUGGCAACUUGUUGAUUAGUGUUUGAUUAGCGAACGUUUCCUAAUCAAACUA
rnacentral:lncRNA from 1 species